rnacentral:rRNA from 1 species
AAAUUGAAGAGUUUGAUCAUGGCUCAGAUUGAACGCUGGCGGCAGGCCUAACACAUGCAAGUCGAACGGUAGCACAGAGAGCUUGCUCUCGGGUGACGAGUGGCGGACGGGUGAGUAAUGUCUGGGAAACUGCCUGAUGGAGGGGGAUAACUACUGGAAACGGUGGCUAAUACCGCAUAAUGUCGC